rnacentral:rRNA from 1 species
AGCAUAUCAAUAAGCGGAGGAAAAGAAACUAACAAGGAUUCCCUUAGUAACUGCGAGUGAAGAGGGAAAAGCUCAAAUUUAAAAUCUGACAGCCUUGGUUGUCCGAGUUGUAAAUUAGAGAAGUGCUAUCUGUGCUGGCCUGUGCAAAAGUCUCUUGGAAGAGGGCAUCAUAGAGGGUGAUAAUCCCGUCUUUGGCACAGAUCCCAGGGCGCUUGUGAUACGCUUUCAAAGAGUCGAGUUGUUUGGGAAUGCAGCUCCAAAUGGGUGGUAAAUUCCAUCUAAAGCUAAAUAUUGGCGAGAAACCGAUAGUGAACAAGUACCGUGAGGGAAAGAUGAAAAGGACUUUGAAAAGAGAGUUAAACAGUGCAUGAAAUUGUUGAAAGGGAAACGCUUAAAGUCAGUCAUAUUCUUCAGAAAUCAACUUGAUUUUUUGAAUCUUGCUUACUUUCUGUUGAAUGGGUCAGCAUCAAUUUUGACCAUUGGACAAAGGCAUUGGGAAGGUAGCAUCUUUUAGAUGUGUUAUAGCCCAGUGAUCCAAAUACAUUGGUUGGGAUUGAGGAACUCAGUGUGAACCUGGGGCUUCGGCUCACAUUCCGCACUUUGGAUGCUGGCAUAAUGGCUUUAAUCGACCCG